UUAGACUAGUGUUUUGUGCAAUCAAUUUUACUCUCUCUAGCCAUUUCUCCAGUCCACUUUUCAGUUCUACAUUUAAAAUGAUUCUUCCAAGUCAUACAGAGAAUUUUCAGUUGAGCUACUCUUGUCACUUGUAUGCUUUCAAGUAUACUGCCUUUUUAUCUUUACUGGCCUUCUUUUUGCAACCCUCAUCUAUAAUUCAGGUGGAAGGAAAUGAAAUAGACAAAAUAUCACUUGUUGCAAUCAAGAAUAUGAUCAUUGAUGAUCCCUUUAGGAUCAUGGACUCCUGGAAUGAAACCAUCCAUUUCUGUGACUGGCCUGGUGUUUCAUGUGGUCGCCGUCACAGACGAGUCACUGUUUUGGAUCUUAGUUGUCUGAAACUAAGAGGUACGUUUUCACCAAGCAUUGGCAAUCUGAGCUUUCUUCAUGUCCUUAAGCUCCAAAAUAAUAGCUUUUCAGGUGAAAUCCCAUCAGAGCUUGGCUACUUACAUAAGUUACAGGUUUUACGCCUUGACAAUAACUCAUUCACUGGUCAUAUUCCUUCAAACAUUUCUGGUUGCUUCAACCUUUUUUCUGUUGUUCUUUCAUAUAAUAUGUUGGUAGGCAUAAUUCCAGCAGAAUUAGGCACCUUGUUGAAACUUCAACAACUUUUACUUGUUUCUAACUACUUUACAGGAGGUAUUCCACCUUCUCUUGGUAAUCUUUCUACACUUGAUACCUUUUUGGCAAGCAAGAACAAUUUGGUAGGCAAAAUACCUGAUGAAUUAUGCCAAUUGCCCAACUUAAAGUACUUUGUAGUGAACGAGAACAACCUGAGUGGAACAUUGCCUCCUUGUCUUUUCAAUCAUUCAUCUAUGGUAGCCAUUGAUGUUGGAUCAAAUCAUAUAGAGGGGAAGUUGCCUCCAUUGCUUGGUAUUACUCUUCCUAAUUUGCAGUUCCUCAGCAUUCAUAGAAACAACAUAACUGGAAAUAUUCCAGUAACAUUAUCAAAUUCCACAAAACUUCAGUUUCUUGUUGCUGGUAGAAAUGGGCUCACAGGAAAAGUACCGCCCCUUGGAAAUCUGCUGAACGUGCGGAGAUUUUUAGUUGCUUACAAUCAUCUCGGGAAGGGGGAGGAUGAUGACCUCAGCUUUCUCACCACAUUGGUGAAUGCCACCAGCUUGGAGCUUUUGGAGCUCAAUACAAAUAACUUUGGUGGAGUCUUACCUGCAUCUGUUAGUAAUCUUUCGUCUGAACUAAUAGAGCUUUCUCUGUCUUACAAUCAGAUUUCUGGAAAACUCCCAAGAGGGAUAUCCAAUCUCAAGAAGCUAGAGGCUUUCUUCGGGGCUUACAACAGAUUCUAUGGUGAAAUUCCAUCUGAAAUUGGGGAUCUGAUAAACCUGCAGGAGUUGGCCUUACUUGGAAAUCUGUUGUCAGGCCAAAUUCCAAUCUCUUUUGGAAAUUUAGCUUCCUUAACCAGACUCAGUUUAAGAGAAAACAAUCUCCGGGGGAGAAUUCCUUCCAGUUUAGGCAAGUGUCACAAUUUGGAACUGUUGGAUCUUGGCUCAAAUAACAUUAGUGGUUUCAUACCAUCAGAAAUUCUUGAAAUUUCAUCCUUGUCAGAGGGCCUCGACCUAUCUCAUAACCACUUAACUGGGAUCCUUCAGAAGGAAAUCGGGAAGUUGAGCAAUCUAGGCUACUUAAACCUAUCUGAUAACAAGUUGCGGGGCCAAAUUCCUACUACUCUAGGUACUUGUCUGAAACUUGAAGCACUAGAUUUGAACAACAACAACUUUCAGGGUAGUAUUCCUUCAACCAUGAAUAAUUUGCGAGGCCUGGAACUUUUAGUCCUUUCUCACAAUAAUCUGUCAGGUGAAAUCCCAAGAUUCUUGAAAGACUUCAAAUUUCUGCAGGUUGUAGAUCUGUCUAGCAAUAAUUUGGAAGGUGAAAUCCCAAUUGGAGGUAUCUUCAAUAAUGUUAGUGUUGUUUCUAUUAUAGGAAAUAGAAAUCUCUGUGGGGGUAUACCAGAGUUGGACCUUCCGGCUUGCAGUGCAGAAGUAAAGAAAGAAAAGAAAUCAGGUUUCCCCUUGAAAAUAGUAAUUCCAGUAGUCAGCGGGCUUAUAGGGUUGACAUCUAUAGUUUGUUUUCUUGGCAUUCCACAGUUAGGUGGAUCGAGAAAAGCACCAGUUACAGAUACACCUGAAAACUCGACCAUAAGAGUAUCUUAUCAGCAUCUCCAUAGGGAAACUGAUGGAUUCUCUGUAUCAAAUUUGCUGGGCAUGGGUGCUUUUGGGUCUGUAUAUAAGGGAAUUUCUGAAGACGAUGGUACAGUUUUUGCUGUUAAGGUACUGGACCUUUCACACCAUGCAGCUUCCAAGAGUUUUUUAGCAGAGUGUGAGAUUCUGAAGAACAUAAGACAUCGUAAUAUUGUAAAGGUGUUAAGUGCAUGCUCAAGUAUUGAUUAUGAGGGCAAUGAAUUCAAAGCUAUAGUUUACGCAUACAUGGAUAAGGGGAGUCUGCAGGAGUGGUUGCAUUUCACUCCUCAGGAGUCACAUGAGCACAAGAAGCUAGGAUUUCUUCAAAGAUUAAACAUUGCCAUUGAUGUUGCAUGUGCUCUGGAUUAUCUUCAUAAUGAUUGCCAACCCCCAAUAAUUCAUCGUGAUCUGAAGCCAAGCAAUAUUCUCCUCGAUGAGAACAUGACUGGACAUGUUGGUGAUUUUGGUUUGGCAAGAUUUAUUCCACCAGCUAUUCACAACUCUUCAGCAAAUCCAAAAACUUCUACUUGUGUUGGAGGAACUAUUGGGUAUACACCUCCAGAGUUGGGUAUGGGAAGUGACGCCUCAAUCUAUGGAGAUUUAUACAGCUUUGGCAUAAUGCUCUUGGAAAUGUUUACUGGGAGGAGACCAACUGAUGAAAUGUUUAAAGAUAGUUUAAAUCUUCAUAACUAUGCCAAGGCUUCUUUACCGGACAGAGUGAUGCAUAUAACAGAUCCCAUUCUUCUCCAGGAAAGGGAUGAACUAGGAAAGGAAUACAAACUUGAUAACAACAGAAGCAGUGCCACUGACUUUUUUGAAUCAUUCUUAGUUGCGGUGAUUCAAAUUGGAGUUGCCUGCUCUGUAGAAUUUCCAAAAGAAAGGAGGAGGACCAAUGAUAUCGUUGGAGAACUCAAUUCAUUGAGGAAGUUGUUCUUGGAGCAAGCAUACUGGAAAGAACAGGUAAUAAGCUUCCGCCCGCAUUGACAGGUGUAAUGUUAGUCCGUCUCAUGUUUAGUGACACGAGGUAAUCUGCACUAUGAAACAAGUUCAUGAAUUUAAGCUGCUGCACUAUUAGAUCAUUGAAUAGCCAUGACAAUAACACAACUGAUCUCAAGCUUCCUCCUGCCAGUCUCAACAUCAUAUUUGAAGUUCUUGAGAGCUAGCUAGGUAAUGUCAACUUCGAAUAACAAUAUUCAUGGCUAAAUCACAACCCCAGAACUUAUGGGUGUUAUCCACUCAUAAUAAAGUUAAACAAUUUCACAAGUUUUUGAAUAAUUGAAAAUACUAAGAAAGAUGAAGAAGAACUGAGAAUUCUUGCUCC